rnacentral:rRNA from 1 species
UGGAAGGUAAAAAAUCGUAACAAGGUCUCCGUUGGUGAACCAGCGGAGGGAUCAUUGCUGGAAACGCGCCCCAGGCGCACCCAGAAACCCUUUGUGAACUCAUACCUUACUGUUGCCUCGGCGCAGGCCGGCCCCCCCCGCGGGGGCCCCUCGGAGACGAGGAGCAGGCCCGCCGGCGGCCAGACCAACUCUUGUUUUUACCACCGGAACUCUGAGUACAAAACACAAAUGAAUCAAAACUUUCAACAACGGAUCUCUUGGUUCUGGCAUCGAUGAAGAACGCAGCGAAAUGCGAUAAGUAAUGUGAAUUGCAGAAUUCAGUGAAUCAUCGAAUCUUUGAACGCACAUUGCGCCCUCUGGUAUUCCGGAGGGCAUGCCUGUUCGAGCGUCAUUUCAACCCUCAAGCCCUGCUUGGUGCUGGGGCGCUGCCCGUCACAGGGCAGGCCCUGAAAUCCAGUGGCGAGCUCGCCAGGACCCCGAGCGCAGUAGUUAAACCCUCGCUCCGGAAGGCCCUGGCGGUGCCCUGCCGUUAAACCCCCCAACAUCUGAAAGUUUGACCUCGGAUCAGGUGGGAUGAG